UGGGGAAUAUUGCACAAUGGGCGCAAGCCUGAUGCAGCCAUGCCGCGUGUGUGAAGAAGGCCUUCGGGUUGUAAAGCACUUUCAGCGAGGAGGAAGGUGGUGAACUUAAUACGUUCAUCAAUUGACGUUACUCGCAGAAGAAGCACCGGCUAACUCCGUGCCAGCAGCCGCGGUAAUACGGAGGGUGCAAGCGUUAAUCGGAAUUACUGGGCGUAAAGCGCACGCAGGCGGUUUGUUAAGUCGGAUGUGAAAUCCCCGGGCUCAACCUGGGAACUGCAUUUGAAACUGGCAAGCUAGAGUCUCGUAGAGGGGGGUAGAAUUCCAGGUGUAGCGGUGAAAUGCGUAGAGAUCUGGAGGAAUACCGGUGGCGAAGGCGGCCCCCUGGACGAAGACUGACGCUCAGGUGCGAAAGCGUGGGGCAGCAAACAGGAUUAGAUACCCUGGUAGUCCACGCUGUAAACGAUGUCGAUUUGGAGGUUGUGCCCUUGAGGCGUGGCUUCCGGAGCUAACGCGUUAAAUCGACCGCCUGGGGAGUACGGCCGCAAGGUUAAAACUUAAAUGAAUUGAC
rnacentral:rRNA from 1 species